UGACCCGAGAUUGCGCUACUGCACUCCAGCCUGGGCGACAGAGCGAGGUUCCGUCUCGAAAAAAAAAACAACGAAAAGGGGACUCACUUCGGAGAAGCUGCCCUCUCUGCAAACUUAUUUGAAGAUGUGGUCUUGCUAUGUUGCCCGGGCUGAGUGCAGUGACUAUUCACAGGCCGGAUCUAGUGCACUGCAGUCUUGAACUCCUGGCUUACAGUCCUGCUGGUUCUGAGAGGCAGGGGAAGAAACGGCCACCAUGCUCUGCAGCUAGGUCUCAGCAUGAGGACCAAGAACCCUGGUGUUCCUCCACUCAUCGGAGCCGUAUCAUUUUGGUGCAUUGGCCAGGAAAGGAAAUUCAAUCAUGAGACUGGGGGUACCGGAACAACCCACAUGUAAAUAAUCAGUUGAAUCCUGAACAUGAGACAUUUUUCAAGACAACUGACCUGCUCUCUUAA
rnacentral:lncRNA from 1 species